rnacentral:rRNA from 1 species
UACGGGGGGGGCAAGCGUUGUUCGGAAUUACUGGGCGUAAAGGGCUCGUAGGCGGCCAACUAAGUCAUACGUGAAAUCCCUCGGCUUAACCGGGGAACUGCGUCUGAUACUGGAUGGCUUGAGUUCGGGAGAGGGAUGCGGAAUUCCAGGUGUAGCGGUGAAAUGCGUAGAUAUCUCGAGGAACACCGGUGGCGAAGGCGGCAUCCUGGACCGAUACUGACGCUGAGGAGCGAAAGCCAGGGGAGCAAACGGG